rnacentral:misc_RNA from 4 species
AACGCACAUUGCGCCCCCUGGUAUUCCGGGGGGCAUGCCUGUCCGAGCGUCAUUGCUGCCCUCAAGCACGGCUUGUGUGUUGGGCUUCCGUCCCUGGUAACGGGGACGGGCCCAAAAGGCAGUGGCGGCACCAUGUCUGGUCCUCGAGCGUAUGGGGCUUUGUCACCCGCUCCCGUAGGUCCAGCUGGCAGCUAGCCUCGCAACCAAUCUUUUUAACCAGGUUGACCUCGGAUCAGGUAGGGAUACCCGCUGAACUUAA